AAUGUGCCAGGAAGCGUGUUCUGUGUUGCGUUAACCGGUUAACCCAGGGCGUUAACCGGUUAACACUGUUUGAAAAGUGAAAAAUUGAUAUUUAAAUAUUGUGGACAUAUUUGAUGAUUGGCCUAUAUUGGUGUAUGAUAUAGUAGGGAUCAUUUCCCGUUGUUUUGAGCAGUAUAGGUAUUAGUAGAGUGUGCUAAUACUGUGAUUUAUU
rnacentral:lncRNA from 1 species